rnacentral:lncRNA from 1 species
UUACCUUGCUUGAAACACCCUUCCAAACGCUCCCUCUCCGAUGUCUCUCACAUAUUCAAUGUUAUUCCUUGGAUACUCCAGGCUGAGCAAUUUGGGGUUCAGAAGGAGCGGCAUCCUCUGCAAUAGAGAGUAGUUAUGGUAAGAAGCACAAAUAUUGCAAAGCUGGACAUGAUGGAGAUUAUUACAGUCAUGGAGUAUGUAGGUGAGACAGAGAAGGAAGAAGAGGAGGAGGAAGGCAGAUUUGGAAUGUCCACACUUGGCUUUGAGGACGUCAUUGGUGGGAAUGCUCUUGAUGACCACUAGCUUAUACAAACCCUUUAUGUGCUGGGAAAAAACAUACACAUACAAAGUAUAUGAUUAUUAUUAGUUUUCUACAUUUCAUUUCUAUGAUGUUCCUGGAAUAAUUAAGGACUUGGCUUUGGUAUUAUAUCAGUGCUUGGAUUAGCUCUAAAAGGUAAGGCACACACAAGACCGAUGAUCUACCUACCUAUCUAUCUAUCUAUCUAUCUAUCUAUCUAUCUAAUCUAUCUAUCUAUCUAUCUAAAUUUAUAUAUAUCUGAAUUUGUUUAUCUAUCAACUACCUAUAGUUUCAGUGUUUCAACCACUUCCUUUUCCUCUCCUCUUGUGCAGAAAUAUAAGCCUUCAAUUUUACACAGUGAUCAAAUUCUAGAUGCAAGACACAGAGGCCAACUGGAACAUUUUGUCCCUCAAACCCCUAAAUCUAUCACUUCAAACAUUUUUAAAAGGAGCUCACAGCAAGAACUGGGGAAUGAGAUAAAUGCAAAUAAUUUCCAUUGGUGUCUUCUGUUGUCUUUUGUAAGUGACAAGACCCCUCCAUGUCCAGCUAAAGUUGUGUUUCUCUGCCUGCAGUUCGUGGUACUGCUGAUGGGGCAACACUAGAAGCAGCUGGUCCUGUUGCUCAUUAGAACCGUGGGACAGAGGUCACAGGGAUCCAUUCACAGAAUGCUGGUUAUUUCGGAAUCAUCAGCCAGACUAGCUUCUAAUAAUGCUAGUUAAUAUUGCACAUGGAAACAGUCCCUCUCUUGCCUCCUUACAAUAUAAACUCAGUUGACUUCUCUUUCAGAAAAGUUCCCUUUCUUGUAGAGGCAAUAAUGGAUAUUUGAUCUCGGAUCUCCUUUUCAACUUCUUUUAUAACAGACAACCCUAUGUGGUCAAAGGGAGUAGGUAAAGAAUUCUCACUGCACCUCUUACUCCUAUUUCUCUCUACUUUGAAACGCAUGAAUCACAUUCAAUAGAACAUUUUAAAAUGUUAUCUUCAAGUUUCUCUGAGGGAGAUGUCUACUCCCUUUGAACACAUAAUAUUUUGUCCCAAGGGCAUUCCAGAUGACCAGCCAUGGCAUGUUUGUGUUAUGACAACCCCAAGACUCUAGUGGAAACUCCACACCUUACUUCCCUCCCUCCCUGCACAGGCACACUUGACAGCUGUACCUCUCCUCUGCUUCAGACAAAUCUUCCCUUUUUUAGCAACUGCCUUAUCUCUCCUUGAACAUUCCCAACAAAGGUAAUGACAGAUUCUGUGCUACUUCCAACCUUCAAAGCAAACGGGAACUGUUUCUAUUCUUUCGCGUCUAGUGUCUUUGUAUAUAAUUUAUUCUCCAAGGCAGGGGUCAGCAAGUACAACCCACAGGACAAAUUUGGCCUGCUGCCUGUUUUUUUCAGAAGGAGGGUUAUUAAAUGGCACUUUUAUUAAUUUUAGUUUAGAUAAACUUUACUCUGCUAAGGCAGUAGCUCCAAAAUUGUUAAUAAAAAUUAUUAAAGCAAUAUUUAGAUUAAAAAAUGGACUCAGAAUUUUUUCUUUUUUUUGAACUGAGAAUUUUUGAUACCACAUUAACAAACUGGAAUGCAGUCAAUUAUGACAAAUCACUAUCCUAUAUACUUAAAACUAGUUUAAUUUUUCAUAUAAUGUGUAUCAUGAUUUUCACUGCUUUUCAGAGCAAUAUAUACAUCCAAAUGGUAUUUCUUAAGACCUUUUUAACAGUAAAACUUUAAAAGGUGUUUUUAGUUAAAAAAAACUGUUUUUUUUAUUGUGUACCACAUGAUGUUUUAAAACAUGUACGCAUUGUGGGAUGACUAAAUUGAGCUAAUUAACAAAUGCAUUACCUCACAUACUUACCAUUUUCUGAUGAUGAGAACACUUAAAAUCUAUUCUCAGUGGUUGUCAAGAAUACAAUACAUUGUUAUUAAUGAUAGUCACUGUAUUGUACUCUAAAUCUCUUGAACUUAUUUUUGCUAUCUAACCAAAAUUUUGUAUCCUGCUGCCUGUUUUUAAACGUAGGCUAUGUGCUAAGAAUGCUGUCUUAAAAUUAAUUACACUCCAUAGAGUUUUAUGAAGGUCAGUUUUAAAAGUACUGCAAAUAAAACACUGUAAGUUGCAAAAGGUUAUAUUGCAAGGGAUACCUUCUUAUAUAUAGGUUAGAGCUAUAAGGGGGAGUUUGGCAGUUCUGGGUUCCAUUUCUAACUUUAUCAUUUACUGGCUGUGUAAGCCACUUGAACUCUCCAGUUCAAAGAAACUUUCUUAGGUUUUUUUAUUUUUUUUUUCUGCAAAAUAGAGAUAACAAUAAUACCCAUUCCAUGGGGAUGUCUUGAAGAUAGAUUUAAAUAAUGCAUGUGAAGCUCAGCACAGUGCCCGAUCCAUAGUAAGUAUUCAGUAGAGGUUACCUGUCUUUCACUUCAUCAUACUUACUAAAAGGAUUAGAAAUUAGAAAGUUUCUAAAAUGUUACAGUGCUCAGCAAAUAGUAAACACUCAAUAAAUGGCAUGUCAAAUAACAAAAACAAAACAUACUCCACCGCACUCCAGCCUGGGCAA